rnacentral:rRNA from 1 species
AGACGUAGGGGGCAAGCGUUGUCCGGAAUUACUGGGCGUAAAGGGCGUGUAGGCGGCUUUGCAAGUCAGUGGUGAAAAACCUGGGCUCAACCGAGGUAUUGCCGUUGAAACUGCAUGGCUUGAGGGUAGAAGAGGAGUGUGGAAUUCCAGGUGUAGCGGUGAAAUGCGUAGAGAUCUGGAGGAACACCAGUGGCGAAGGCGGCACUCUGGUCUACCCCUGACGCUGAGGCGCGAAAGCUAGGGGAGCAAACAGGAUUAGAUACCCUGGUAGUCCUAGCCGUAAACGAUGGGCACUAGGUGUAGGAGGUUUAGAUACCUUCUGUGCCGUAGCUAACGCAUUAAGUGCCCCGCCUGGGGAGUACGGUCGCAAGGCUGAA